rnacentral:siRNA from 1 species
GUCGGUUCGGCCAAUGACAUUGUA